UGGAGUGUGAGCAGAAGGGGAGGGCACACUGGGGGUUCUGUUUCAGAGCUGGGUAUGAAGCUGGGGAAUUGCACUUGGAGAAUGGAGGGACAUGUAAAAACCAAUUAGCCCGCUUAGUUCCCUGGUCAGAGUGUAAUGUUAAAUCUUGAAGUCGUUUCUCAAGAAAGAUCUUUGAAUUAAACAUGAAAUGAUAAAUUGAUGAAUUAUAACAGAUCUAGGUAGAAUUUAUCCACCCCCAUCCCUACCCCCUUUUUGGGUAGAUAACAGAAAUGUGCAAUUCACUGUACUAUGGAGACUGGAAGGUCUACUACAUUUAUUGCUGUGCCAGUUCUCCUUAUAAGUUGUUGUUGCUGCUUUUGUUUUAUUUAUUCUGUCUAUGGGUGUGUUUGUUUUCUGUUUGUUUUUCUGUCUUUCUAGGUAGCCUUAGCUGGCCUGAUACUUGCUAUGUAAUCCAAAUUGGCUUUGAACUCCUAGCAAUCCUCCUGAGUUAACUCUCCGUGUGCUGGGAUUACAGGUGUGUGCGACCACAUCUGUAUUAUCUUGUCCUUAUUAUUCAGCCCUUGUUCUUGUAUAUUAAUUUAUUUUGUUUUUUUUUAUUUGCAUUUUUGAGGCUCUGACAAAAUGCCUGGGAGAAACAACUUAAGAGAAAAGGGUCUAUUUUGGCUCAUGUCAAAGGAUCCCAACUACGAUGGUGAGGCAGAUAUUGUGGUAGAAGUGGCUGAGUUAAGUUCUUAGUCUGUGUUGAUGUGAGUACCAAGCAGAUGGUCACUUCAUGAGGAGAAAACAGGGAGCUAGACUGGAUCCAGCGGUAUGUAUGGGAAGCUGCUUCUGUUUGCAAGGCCACAUAUUCCUAGUUCACAGCCUCAUACAACAGUGCCACAAGCUGGUGAGUUUUCAAAUACGUGCACUCCCAGGAACAUAAUAUAUGGAAAUAAUCUUGCAUCUCCUCACUGGUAAUCUUUGUCCGGGUGAACUGGAAGGGUCCUUAGAGUAGGAGUGAGCUGGAUUGCUAAACAGAGUUCCAUUAUUCUCCUAUCAGAUCAAUAAAUUUUCACUUGUUCUGAGGUACUAUUUAUGGAUUAGUAAAAUACCCACAAUAACAUCUACAGACAGAAAGGUAUAGGGCUUCUGGAAAGAAAGAUGCUCAGUCACCAUAGACCCAGAAUUAAUGAAAAGUCACAGAAAUAAUAGCUCCAUUCUCUACUUGCUUCUGAACCUCAAAUCAGUGGUUGGCAACAAGUUCCCUGUUCCAAGCAAAGUACUAGGACAUCUUGCUUCUCUUGCCUCUACAGACAGCAAGAUGACUUCAUGGCUUUCUCUUUCACCACAGUCACUGGUGCUCAGUACAAAUGAGACUCACCUUAGAAAGAAAGAAAAGAAAGAAAGAAAGAGAAAAAGAGGGGGAGGGAGAGAGGAGGGAGGGAGAAAGGGAGGAAAGAAGGAAGGGAGGGAGGGAGGGAGGAAGGAAGGAAGGGUGGAUUUGGAAAACACACUUACAGCCUCCUAGAGAGGAAAUAGGCCGUGAAACCUAAUGAAGAAAGAACCAUAGACCAAGGUCACAACAGCAAAAACAGAAAGAAAAAAUAUGAGCACAUUACUUCGUAGAAGUAAUACAUAAAACAUCUGCAGCAGAGGCAUUAUCUUCUACUUAAUGAGCUAAAUGCAUUAUUUAUUAAUCCUGUUAUAUGUGUGUAUCAGAGGUCAGAGGGAAACUUGUAGGAGUCGAUGUUCUUAUUCCUUGUGUCUGGAGAAUUGAACUCAGCCUAUUAGGGUUGGUGGCAAAGGAAUAGUUAUAAACAGACCACCCCCCCCCCAAGCGACCACAUGUAACUCAUUGAUUUUGGCAGGAUGUCUGCAUCAUCUGUAUUGACCUGCUCCCCAGAUUAAUACCGAAGCACUGCAAUUUCUUGAGGAUUAUCCACCUAGGAGGAAAUGAUACGCUGGCCCAUCCAUAGUAGUCAAGC
rnacentral:lncRNA from 1 species